GGUAUCUUGGCCCGAGUGGGUCUAAGGGGGCGGAACUUAAGAUCCGCUAGACGUUUGUCUGCGUGGGUUCAACCCACAGGUACCA
rnacentral:tRNA from 1 species